GUUUUGCCUCCAAAUAUUUCUAACACUUUUAAUUUUCCCACUCCAAGGCCCAAAACUCUCACUUCCCCAAAAAUCUACAUCUUUCUCUUUCAACAUAACGAUGGCGAUUUCAAAUUUACGAUGGCGAUUUCAACAUAACAAUGACUAAGUUUUCUAAAUCUGAUAUUUGAAAUCAGUGAGUCAUCCGAUUUGGUUCAUUUUAGGGUUCUGCCAUUUUUGCUCCUCUUUUAAUGCUUGUUAUUAGGUCUUUGUUUUGCUUGAUACUACAAUUUCAAAAUCUGAGAUUUGAAAUCAGUGAGUGCUCUUUAAUUACGUAUAUUGAUCUUCUUUAAGCACAAAAUAUGAGUUCACUGUUGCAUACAUGUGUAAAUUGGUUCGUAUUGACCUAAAUCCUAGCUCCUUGUUGGUUUUGAUGUUGUUUUCUGCUAAAUUUAGGCUAAAAAACUGAUGCAUGUUGUUCAUUUUAGUUUUUUUGGUUCAUUUUAGGCAAAUUUUGGCUAAAAAUUGGUAAAUAAUAGGCUAAAAGUUAUUUAUCUUAACUGAAUUGAAGAGUAUUAAUAUAUUAGCAGCUCUAAUAAGUUGUUUAUACGAUUUGUUGAUUUUUUUUUUUAAUUUUAGUUUGAUAAGUGAACCUUAUAAAUCUUAUUGGUGCUAUAUUAAGUGAUAGAAAUUAGUGCUAUAUUAUUUUGCUAACUGCUAGGUUCAUGAUCUGUUUUGUGCCUUUUUUACAUUUCUUUGAUGUUUUCAAAUGUUAAGAGUGGUAUGUUACGCUAUUUCUGAAUGAUAUUUUUGUUAAAGUUUGCGUUAAUAAUAUUUGUAGUGCUAGUGUGCACAUGUUCUGUUGUUUAAGUUCAUCAGAUAUGAUGAAAUUGUAUCUUGAAUAGGAUUCGUCUCGUAUGAGCUUUUCCUUUGGUUGUCUUUUUUGGCGUAGGUCUUGAUUUAUUAGUUGAACUAUAUGACUAGCCUUUUCAGAAUAUAUUCAGAGACUCUGUAAGUAUUUGGUGGAUUUUGUGGGUCUCUUUUGGUAUAGUCUUAUUAACAUAGCUUCUAAGUGGUGUUAAUUAAGAGGAAUGAGGCUAUUAGUAGUUCGAGAUGUUAGAAAUGUGUUGUCCGUUUUAGUAUUUGGGAUACCUCAUUUCUUGCUGCUCAUUUGUAGCAACGUGUAAAGUUGGUUUUGUAGUUUUGGGAUUUUCCUAAGCGAAUGUGUUCAACUUCUAGGGAUUUACAACGUAUUGGGGGGAGAAUCCAUUAGAGGGAGUAAUAUUGGGUUGAGAUUGUGUCCUAGCCAUAGCUAUAGUGACGCUCUACGUUAAAUUUAAGGUUUUUUGGAUUGCAAGGAACCAAGGUUUAUAGCCGAAGAGAGGAACUGGUUGUCCUUUUUCUCUCUUAUCAUCCCCAAAGCUUUUUUCUCCAAUCUAUUCUUGAAGAUCAAGUUGUUCUUUCCUUUUAUCACUAAAGAAGGUUAAGGUGUUUAGGGUCUCCUGUUGCAUUCAUCCUAGAUUUUAGUUUGGAUACAGUUCAUUAAAACGUCUAAUUAGCUAUGCCGGUGCAUGGAACUAAAUAUGGAUGAGGUUGUGCAUCUCAUUUUACAUUUUUCCUAAUUUUGCAAUGGGAGGAAUAGUUAUAUUGUUACCUUUUCAUAUUUGACACACCUUUUCGUUAAAUCUCUUAUAAUACAUAUAUAGUCUUUUCCAAAGUGGGAAAACCCCACCCACACAAGUGCUGAUCGGCCUUUUGUAUUUUGGAUGCGCUGCCCUCAAAAGUUCAUCAGCUGGUUUUGAACUCCAGCACUCCCCUUAUUUUUGUACUGUUGUUUGUAAUAGAUUGAGUUGAUCACAUGUUUUGUGAUUGAUUUAGAUUGCGACUUUGCUCUCUAUAUGAAAUUAGAUAUUAAGAUAUGAAGAUCCUUGAUGAUUCUGGACUUAGUUGUACUCUGAUUUUUGUUCUUAUUUAGUUGAUUUAUUCAUUUCUUUGUUUUCGUCACUGAAGGAUCGGUUUUCGUUGGCAUUGUGCCUAAAACCGAUGAAAUUAGAACAUUCUAAAGCUGCAAAAUCAGUUUUUCUUUUUGUUUUUUCUUAUUGAGUUGGGUUGUUCAUUUCUUAUUAAUUCGUUACUGAAGGAUCAGUUUGUGUUAGCAUCGUGCUUAAACUGAUGAAUUUAGAACAUUUUAAAGCUAUAAAAUCUUUUUCUUUGUUAUAAUGUUGUGUAGUUGGAUAAUAUAGACUUAAUAGGUCUUGGAUAUGAAGAUCCUUGAACGAUUAACUUAGACGUAAUUCCGUUUUUUCUUUGUUAUAAUGUUGUGUAACGAUCGAGGAUUGGAUGUGUAAUUGGAUAAUAAUAGCUAAGAUAUGAAGAUCCUUAAUGAUUCUGGACUUAGUGUACUUUGAUGAACAAUUUUAUCCGAACUUAUGAAAAAUUAUUAUUAAUUUAAUACAAGAUUGAUUUAUUCAUUUCUAUUUUCUUUUAAUUACUUCUUCAAACUUGUUGGACUGUGCUAUUUGCUGCUCCAACUCUUCCGACUGCUUCAUUGUUACUCUUGUGAGGUCACCCAGGUAUGAAAUCCAUCUUUCUCCUAUGAAAAACUUCGUUGUUGUUGUUGAUUGAAGGAUUCUUUUGUGUGCUCUAGGAAUAGGAUUCAUGUGAUAGCUGAUCUUAGCACACUCUUUGUCAUCUGCAAAGAUUAGGUUUGGGCAUAUAUGCAAUAGAGAAUUUGGUUAGAUGAUCAAAUUGUUCCAUGUAUCAUGUUUAAUUUGGCUUAAUGAUUUCUGAGUUAUGUAAUAAAGCUAUUAGUAAAAUGAUGAAAAGGAUAACAGUAACUGUAAAUUUUGGUGAAGAACAGUCUAAUGGCUUUAAAUUCGUUAGAUUCUGGUACCUCUAGGUUCUAGUAUCAUAUGGAAACAACUGGUCUAACACAUGUUUAUUCUGUGUCAGAGAGCGCAAUAUGAGUAAUUUUGAUCGUGAGUGGAUGUAUGAUAGAAUAUUGGAAGAUGGAUUCAUAAAUCCUAGAUUUAUUGAUGGGGUGGAGAAUUUUAUUGCAUUUGCUAAAAGACAUCCACAGUGCUUGGACAGUGAUAAGUUAAGAUGUCCUUGUAAUCAUCGUAAGUGUCAGAAUAAAAACAUUUUAGAUGAGUUUACAAUCAUGUCACAUCUUGGGAAUUUCGGCUUUGUACCAGAUUAUUAUCGUUGGUAUCACCAUGGUGAAAGUUAUAUUCCAUAUCCAAGCAUGCUUGAUUAUCAUCAAGCAACAUCUUUGGGUGAAACUGUGAAACUUGGAGAGGACCCAAAUCCAACAACACAACAUCUUUAUGACCUGCUCAAAGCAUCAGAACAGGAAAUUUGGGCGGGAAACCCACACGGACAUUCUCAAUUGUCGGUCGUUGCUCGUCUGUUGAAUCUAAAGGCAGAACAUCAUUUUUCUGAAAGGUUGUAUGAUGAGUUAUGUCAACUUCUAUCAGAAUUGAUGCCAACUGAUAACAUAAUGUCAGAUAGCUUCUAUAGUACCAAAAAGCUAAUGCGAGGAUUGGGCUUGCCGGUAGAGAAGAUCGACUCUUGCAAAAAUGGUUGUAUGAUUUAUUGGCGUGAAGAUAAUGAACUUGUCAAUUGCAAAUUUUGUUCUCACCCUCAAUUUAAGAGAUCAAAACAUCAACGUUCCAAGCAGAAAACUACUAUUUCUUAUAAGAAAAUGUGUUAUUUUCCUUUAACUCCACGUCUACAAAGGUUGUAUGCAUCUGAUGCUACAACAAAGCAUAUGAGAUGCCAUUUUGAGCAUGAAAGGGAUGGUGUCAUGCGUCAUCCCUCAGACUCUCCUUCUUGGAAGAAUUUUGAUCAGACAUAUUCAUGUUUUGCAUCUGAAGUAAGAAAUGUUAGAUUGGGUUUGUCCACAGAUGGGUUUCAACCGUUUGGUCCAUUAGGCCAACAAUAUUCUUCUUGGCCUGUGAUAGUUACGCCAUAUAAUCUGCCACCUUGGAUGUGCAUGAAGGAUGAAUACAUGUUUUUAUCUAUGAUUAUUCCUACAUGUUUUUAUCUAUGAUUAUUCCUGGUCCAAAAAAUCCAAAAUAGAAAAUUGAUGUCUUUUUGCAGCCCCUCAUUGACGAGUUAAAAGAAUUAUGGGAGGAGGGAGUCCAAACAUAUGAUGUUUCAAGUUGGAGUACAGCAGGAAAAUUAGCUUGUCCUUAUUGCAUGGAAGACUUGGAUGCUUUUUCUCUAUCCAAUGGUAGAAAGAUCUCAUGGUUUGACAAUCACAGAAAGUUCUUACCACCGGAUCAUCCGUGGCAAAGGAAAAAAGGUGGUUCAAGAAAGGUCAAACAGUCCAUCAGGUUGCAUCUACUGCACAAGCGGGUUUACAAAUACUUGGGGAGAUUGAGGAUU